rnacentral:rRNA from 1 species
GACGAACGCUGGCGGCGUGCCUAAUACAUGCAAGUCGAACGCAGUGGGGACGGGUGAGUAACACGUUGGUAACCUCCCAUCAGAGGGGAUAACACUUGGCAACAGGUGCUAAACCGAUACUGAUGGAUGGACCCGCGGUGCCUUAGCUAGUUGGUGAGGUAACGGGUCACCAAGGCCACGAUGCAUAGCAGGCCUGAGAGGGUGAGCGGCCAAACGGGGAAUGAGACACGGCCCAGACUCCUAAGGGAGGCAGAAGUAGGGAAUCUUCGGCAAUGGACGAAAGUCUGACCGAGCAACGCCGCGUGAGUGAAGAAGGUUUUCGGAUCGGAAAACUCUGUUGUUAGAGAAGCGGUAUCUAACCAGAAAGCAACGGCUAACUACGUGCCAGCAGCCGCGGUAAUAC